rfam:Triticum aestivum genome assembly, contig: Triticum_aestivum_CS42_TGACv1_scaffold_272208_3DS
GUCCCUUCGGGGACAUCCGAUAAAAUUGAAACGAUACAGAGAAGAUUAGCAUGGCACCUGCGCAUGGAUGACACACACAAGCGCUGGAUUCCGGCUCCGUAA